CGAGCACGCGCGUGUGGCAUAUCAAUAAGCGGAGGAAAAGAAACUAACAAGGAUUCCCCUUAGUAACGGCGGGUGAAGCGGGAAGAGCUCAAAUUUGAAAUCUUCAAGGUUUUACCUUGACGAAUUGUAGUUUAAAGAAGUGUUUUCGGUUAGAGGAGUGGUAAAAGUUCUUUGGAAUAGGACAUCAUAGAGGGUGAGAAUCCCGUAUUUGACCAUUCUUUCUAGCUUUGUGAUACACUUUCAACGAGUCGGAUUGUUUGGGAAUGCAGUCCAAAAUGGGUGGUAAAUUUCAUCUAAAGCUAAAUAUUGGCGAGAGACCGAUAGCGAACAAGUACCGUGAGGGAAAGAUGAAAAGAACUUUGAAAAGAGAGUUAAACAGUACGUGAAAUUGUCAAAAGGGAAGCGUUUGACACCAGUGUUGUUUUUCCGAAAAUCAAUUACGAAUGUUUUAUUUUUAGAGAGUUAUGACUUCAUCGGCUUGCUUCCUUUCUUUACGAAACUUUCUUAAUGCACUUUUCGGUUAACAAGUCAACAUCAAUUUCUUUUGUUGUAAAAGGGUAUGAGGAAGGUGGCUUUCUUUUCGGAGAAAGUGUUUAUAGCCUUGUGCCUCUGCAAUCGGAGAGAUUGAGGUCUGCAGCGUAGAUCCUUCGGGGUUAGAUACAGUUUGUGCUAAGUUAUAGCUUUUCAUAGACAACUUGUUGACUAUGUUUAGUCUUGUAGCUUACUCGCUGAUGCUAUUUUACCUACGCUUAGGAUGUUGAUGUGAUACUGCGAGCA
rnacentral:rRNA from 1 species